rnacentral:rRNA from 1 species
GACGAACGUUGGCGGCGUGCUUAACACAUGCAAGUCGAACGGAAAGGCCCUGCUUUUGUGGGGUGCUCGAGUGGCGAACGGGUGAGUAACACGUGAGUAACCUGCCCUUGACUUUGGGAUAACUUCAGGAAACUGGGGCUAAUACCGGAUAGGAGCUCCUGCUGCAUGGUGGGGGUUGGAAAGUUUCGGCGGUUGGGGAUGGACUCGCGGCUUAUCAGCUUGUUGGUGGGGUAGUGGCUUACCAAGGCUUUGACGGGUAGCCGGCCUGAGAGGGUGACCGGCCACAUUGGGACUGAGAUACGGCCCAGACUCCUACGGGAGGCAGCAGUGGGGAAUAUUGCACAAUGGGCGGAAGCCUGAUGCAGCAACGCCGCGUGCGGGAUGACGGCCUUCGGGUUGUAAACCGCUUUCGCCUGUGACGAAGCGUGAGUGACGGUAAUGGGUAAAGAAGCACCGGCUAACUACGUGCCAGCAGCCGCGGUGAUACGUAGGGUGCGAGCGUUGUCCGGAUUUAUUGGGCGUAAAGGGCUCGUAGGUGGUUGAUCGCGUCGGAAGUGUAAUCUUGGGGCUUAACCCUGAGCGUGCUUUCGAUACGGGUUGACUUGAGGAAGGUAGGGGAGAAUGGAAUUCCUGGUGGAGCGGUGGAAUGCGCAGAUAUCAGGAGGAACACCAGUGGCGAAGGCGGUUCUCUGGGCCUUUCCUGACGCUGAGGAGCGAAAGCGUGGGGAGCGAACAGGCUUAGAUACCCUGGUAGUCCACGCUGUAAACGGUGGGUACUAGGUGUGGGGUCCAUUCCACGGGUUCCGUGCCGUAGCUAACGCUUUAAGUACCCCGCCUGGGGAGUACGGCCGCAAGGCUAAAACUCAAAGGAAUUGACGGGGCCCCGCACAAGCGGCGGAGCAUGCGGAUUAAUUCGAUGCAACGCGUAGAACCUUACCUGGGUUUGACAUGGAUCGGGAGUGCUCAGAGAUGGGUGUGCCUCUUUUGGGGUCGGUUCACAGGUGGUGCAUGGCUGUCGUCAGCUCGUGUCGUGAGAUGUUGGGUUAAGUCCCGCAACGAGCGCAACCCUUGUUCACUGUUGCCAGCACGUUAUGGUGGGGACUCAGUGGAGACCGCCGGGGUCAACUCGGAGGAAGGUGGGGAUGACGUCAAGUCAUCAUGCCCCUUAUGUCCAGGGCUUCACGCAUGCUACAAUGGCUGGUACAGAGAGUGGCGAGCCUGUGAGGGUGAGCGAAUCUCGGAAAGCCGGUCUCAGUUCGGAUUGGGGUCUGCAACUCGACCUCAUGAAGUUGGAGUCGCUAGUAAUCGCAGAUCAGCAACGCUGCGGUGAAUACGUUCCCGGG